UCGCCAUGUUCCGAGCGGCCCUGUACGCUCACUAUGUAAGUUGCGUGGGGCCUCACAAUUUUCGCUCGGAAACCCGCCUCCCUCUAACGUUAUAGCCAUAGACUAUAUAUAAAAGGUCAAAGCAGUUGUCGAUGUUUACAACUUCGGAGAGGAUGAAACGGAACUUUCUGGUCACGAAGAGGAAAAAAACACCACCAGAGUGAAUGGCGGGAACAGCAAACAGGUUUCAUUAAACAGAGCUGACUGACAAACUGCCUCAGUGGACAGGAAGACGUCACCAGCUGAGGACUGAUGGAGAGACAUGAGAAGCAUCAUACACUGACACUGACAGUGUUCAGUAAUGGAUGUUUACAUGGAGGCAGAAGUAGUUUGCUCAGAUCAGCCCUGCUGCUGUCAGCAGGAGAUCAGUGGAUGUGAAACAAGUGUCAGCUGUGACAGGAAGAAACCCUGCAGAGGAAAAUGACCAACACUGACAGGAAGAACGACAGUGGAAGAUUGACAUGAAGAAGAGAGAGAAAGAGCUGAUGGACAGAGAGACAGGUGGAGAGAGACGGACAGAAGUUGGACAUUAUAGGCAGAGAGGACGAGAGGCAGAGGAGGACAUUUUCAAAUGAGACGCAGAAUCCUAAUCUAAAUGGAGAAUGUAGCCUGAGGCAGCGCUAAAUGCAUUAAGAGUUAGUGAAGAGCAGGAAAUUAUGUUAUUACCAAGAAGUGUGAAGCAGGUUAUUAGAAAUUCAUAAUAGUCCAAAUGUAUAUGUGAGCAGUUUCCUUUUUUAUAGGUUGGAGCCCUGAGUCCAGAACAGCAGCACUGAAGUAUUUUAUAAAACGACUCCAACCGCCCUGUGGAACGAAACCCUCAGACCAGUCAGAUUUGGGCUCUCUCUCAGCUUUUAAACAUUUAAAGGGGCACCCCACUGAUUGUACAUGUCAAAGUGAACCUACUAAUCAUGAGGACUGUCUCUGAGCCUGUGAAACAGUAUAAUAACAAUAUAAUGUCUUCUGUGGACCUGGAGGAGCUUUGUCAAAUCUGAAAAAAAUUACUCAAGUGCUUGGGUAGGUCUACAAAUUUAUAACAGAUAGUGUCACAAAUCCGGGGUGUAGAGCCUGAAAUGUGGAGUGGCAUUUCAAGAUGAGAAGAAUCCAGUGUUUUUGAUUGUUCAUAACAAGGAGUGUUAUAAACAAUCAAAGUGCAGCACAAAUCAGUUGCUUUUGCUCAUGAGGACAGAAAAAAUCAUCAAGGUACAUGAGCCAGUCAGUCCAGGGAGCACAUGUAAUAAAGUUGCUGCUCUUUUGACGCCUGCACACUGACUCAGAAUCCUAAAUUUAUACUACAUACUGUAUAAUCCAUACUAUCCCAAAGAGUAGGUACAGAAAUAAUAAGUCAGCAAAUGCAGUGUCAAAAAUAGCUAAAAAAAAUUUGAAAAAGAAAAUAAAAAAUUAAUGUUUUUAGAUUAUAUUGAUAUGCAGUUAAUUAUUUUAGUCAUUUUUUGAGCAUAAAUGUGAGGAUUUGAUGCUUUUAUUUGCAACACAUGAGAGCAAACUGAAUAUCUUCAGGUUUUGAACUGUUUCAACUCAGAUAUGACCCAUAGGAGCGUACCAGAGGCAGGUGUACCAUACCUUUGUCGUCAGGCUAAUGGUAAUAAACAUGUGGUCAAGGCUGUGCAACAGUCAUGGUUUGGUAGCUUUUGGCAAAAAAACUAAACUAGGUUUAGGAAAGAUCAUGGUUUGGUUUAAAAUAAGUUCUUCUUUAAGGUUAGAGGAUGUUUGACGUCAUGGUUACAAUAAUAAACACUUGUGGAAAUGUCAUGGAUAAAGAAAACAAUGACUACGGAAAUGAACAGCACUCUCCCGUGUGACGGUCUUGUGUUUUGUCAUCCCAUCCAUCCACCACAACCUCCUUAUUAUGCAAACUUUGCUGCACUAUAAACAACAUCACCUGACUUCCU